rnacentral:rRNA from 1 species
GCCUACGGGAGGCAGCAGUGGGGAAUAUUGGACAAGGGGGGCAACCCUGAUCCAGCCAUGCCGCGUGUGUGAAGAAGGCCCUCGGGUUGUAAAGCACUUUCAGUGAGGAAGAACGCCUGGUGGCUAAUACCCAUCAGGAAAGACAUCACUCACAGAAGAAGCACCGGCUAACUCCGUGCCAGCAGCCGCGGUAAUACGGAGGGUGCGAGCGUUAAUCGGAAUUACUGGGCGUAAAGCGCGCGUAGGUGGCUUGAUAAGCCGGUUGUGAAAGCCCCGGGCUCAACCUGGGAACGGCAUCCGGAACUGUCAAGCUAGGGUGCAGGAGAGGAAGGUAGAAUUCCCGGUGUAGCGGUGAAAUGCGUAGAGAUCGGGAGGAAUACCAGUGGCGAAGGCGGCCUUCUGGACUGACACUGACACUGAGGUGCGAAAGCGUGGGUAGCAAACAGGAUUAGAUACCCUGGUAGUC